UACGUAGGCAGCAAGCGUUGUUCGGAGUUACUGGGCGUAGAGGGUGCGUAGGCGGCUUCUUAAGUCUGGUGUGAAAUCUCCCGGCUCAACUGGGAGGGUGCGCCGGAUACUGAGGGGCUAGAGUGUGGGAGAGGAAAGUGGAAUUCCUGGUGUAGCGGUGAAAUGCGUAGAUAUCAGGAGGAACACCGGUGGUGUAAACGGCUUUCUGGACCAUAACUGACGCUGAGGCACGAAAGCGUGGGUAGCAAACAGG
rnacentral:rRNA from 1 species